GAUGCGACUGUUAUAAGAACGUGUCUCUCAAGUGAUGAAUCACUGUCUUCUACUCCUGAAACCAAUAUUCCACUCUAUAUUAACUAACUAGAAUUUAAAUUAAAAUCUGAAAAAAACACAACCACCACAAACCAACAAAAAACCAAAAUGUCUCUUGGUCAUCUGUUUACCAAACUUUGACCUUCCUCCCGUGACAUGGUUAUUUGUGGGAUUGGCCAGUUAUGUUAGUUAGCUUCAUAAAGUUGUACUUGAAUGCAUCUUUCUUAACGUUCUCCUCAGCGCCCCUAACUGUCACUUUUUAAUGGACUAUUUGGAGUAUAGAAUGUGACAGUGUAGUUUUAAGUGAUGUUAGUAUUCUUCUCGGUUAAGUCACACAUUCUUCAAUAAAGUUUGAAGGCAUUAUUGAAGUAACUUUUCCAUUAAAAGAAAGAUUUAUAUUGUGGUUUUGAAAAUGAGCAGAAGACAUGAACGGUACUUAUCACCGUAUUUUCAGUACUGAAAAGAUGUUCAGCUUCACAAACAAUAAGAGAAAUGCAAAUUAAAAUACACAGAGAGACCAUUUCCACCUUUUUAGAUUGGCAAAAGUUCAAAAGAUUAGACUAUGCUUAGUUGGUAAGUCUGUGAAGAAACAAACACUCUCAUAUAUUGCUGAUGGGAAUGUGAAGUGUUACAUUUUAUGAGAAUUUUGUGAUAUCUGACAAAUCGAUACCUGCAUUUACCUACCAGUCCAAUUUCUAGUGAUUUGCCCUGAUGAAUUACCUGUACAAAUAUGGACUUAUAUACGCCCAAAGUUUUUGAUUAGAGGAUUAUUUGUAAUAGCAGAAUAUUAGGGAAAAAACCUAAAUAUCAGUCCAUAGGGGACCGAUUGAAUAAACUGUGAUAUUAAAAGGAAUAAGGAAGUUUCUGUGAGCCGAUACGGAAUGAUUCCAGGUAGAAAGUGUAUACGCAGACAUACCUUGGAGAUAUUGUAGAUUUGGCUAGACCCACUGCAAUAAAGCCAAUAUUGCAAUAAAGAGAGUCAAAUGAUUUUUUUUUGUUUUCUCAUACAUAUAAAAGUUAUGUUUACACUAUACUAUAGUCUUUUAAGCAUGCAAUAGCAUUAUGUCUAAAAACACAAUUUACACACAUGAAUUUAAAAAUACUUCAUUGCUAAAAAUGCUGUCAUGUAAGCUUUCAGUGAGUUGUAAUCUUUUUGCUGGUGGAGGUUCAUGCCUCAAUACUGAUGGCUGCAGUUGAUCAGUUGUGGCUGGUGAAGGCUGGGGUGGCUGGGACAGUUUCUUAAAAUAAGACAACAAUGAAAUUUGCCACAUUGAUGAACUCUUCCUUUCACGUACGGUUUGUAGCAUGUAAUGCUGUUGAGGAGCAUUUGAAAGAAACAGAACUUCUUUGAAAAUCAAGAGUCAAUCCUCUCAAACCCUGCUGCCACUUUGUCAACUAAGUUUAGGUCAUAUUCUAAAUCCUUGUCGUUUCAACAGUGUUCAUGCCAUUUUUAUCGGGAGUAGAUUCCAUCUCAGGAAACCGCUUUCUUUCCUCAUGUACAAGAAGCAACUCCCCUGUCUUAUCAUGAGAUUUCAGCAAUUUGGUCAUAUCUUUAGGCUCUACUUCUAAUUCUAGUUCUUCAGCUGUGUCCACCACAUCUGUGGUUGCUUUCUCCACUGAAGUCUCGAACCCCUCAAAGUCACCCAUGAAAGUUGGAAUCAACUUCUUCCAAAUUCCUGUUAAUGUUGGUAUUUUGACCUUCUCCCAUGAAUCAUGAGUGUUCUUUGUGACAUGUAGAAUGGUGAAUCCUUUCCUGAUAGUUUUCAGUUUACUUUACCCAGAUCUAUAGAGGAAUCACUAUCUAUGGUAGCUAUAGCCUUAUGAAAUGUAUUUCUUAAGUAAUAAGGCUUGAAAAUCAAAAUUACUCCUUGACCCAUGGGUUACAGAAUGGAUAUUGUGUUAGAAACAUCAUCAUUCUUAUUGUACAUCUCCAUCAGAGCUCUUGGGUGACCAAGUACAUGAUCACUGAGCAGUAAUAUUUUGAAAGGAAUCUUUUUUUCUGGGCAGUAGGUCUCAACAGUGGGCUUAAAAUAAUCAGUAAAUCAGAUGUGCUGUCAUCCAGACUUUAUUGUUCCAUUUAUAGAGCGUAGGCAGAGUAGAAUGAGCAGAAUUCUUAAGGGCCCUAGGAUUUUCAGAAUGGUCAGUGAGCAUUGGCUUCAACGUAAAGUCCCCAGCCGCAUUAGCCCCUAACAAGAGUCAGCUUGAUUUUUGAAUCUUUGAAACCAGGCAAUGACUUCUCCUCUCUCAAAGUUCUAGAUGACGUCUUCUUCUAAUAUAAGGCUGUUUCAUCUUUACUGAAAAUCUGUUGUUUAGUGUAGCCACCUUCAUUCAUUAGCUCUAUCUUCUGGAUAACUUGCUACAGCUUCCACGUCAGCACUCACUGCUUCACCUUGUACUUUUAUCUUACAGAGACGGCUUCUUUCCUUAAAGCUCAUGAACCCACCUCUGCCAGCUUCCAACUUUUUUCCUGCAGCUUCUGCACCUCUCUCAGCCUUUACAGAAUUGAAGAAAGUUAGGGCUUUGUUCUGAAUUAGGCUUUGACUUAAGAGAAUGUGGUAGCUCGUUUGAUCUUCUAUCCAGACCAGAACUUUCUCCAUUAUUGCUUUCUUAUCAUUCAUGUGUUCACUGGAGUAGCUCUUUUAAUUUCCUUCAAGAACUUUUCUUUUACAUUCACAGCUUGGCUAACUGGGAUAAGAGGCCUAGCUUUUGGCCUCUCUCAGCUUUUGACGUGCCUUUCUCACUAAGCCUAAUUGUUUCUAGCUUUUGAUUUAAAGUGAGAGAUGUGUGACUCUUUCCCUUGAACAUUUAGAGGCCACCGUAGGGUUAUUCAUUGGCCUACUUUCUAUCCUGUUGUGUCUCAGGGAAUAGACCCAAGGAGUAGGAAAGAGAUGGGGAAUGCUCAGUUGGUGGAGAAGUCAGAACACUCACAGCAUGUAGGGAUGAAGUUUGCUGUCUUAUGUGGGUGAGGUUUGUGGUGUCCCAAAACAAUGAUGAUGCUAACAUCAGAGAUCCUCGAUUACAGAUCACCAUGACAAACAUAAUAAUAGUGAAAAAGUUGGAAGUAUUGUGAGAGUUACCAAAUUGUGACACAGAGACACAAAGUGAGAAAAUGCUGUUGGAAAAAUGGCAUGAACAGCCUUGUUGGAUGCAGGGUUCCCACAAACCUUCAACAUGUGAAAUCCCCAGUGUCUGUCAAGUGCACAAUAAAAUGAGGUGUGCCUGUAUGGUAAUUAUGGUCCCUUUUUAGUAGUAAAAAAGGGAAAAAUAGGAAAACAGUUCAGCGUUUUGUGCAAAAGAGAAACACGGGAAGGAUUAACCCAGAGACCGGUGAAAUAGUUAUCUGUAAGGAGUGGGGCAGGGGUGGGGCUGCGGGGGGCAGAGUGGGGAGGAUAAGGAUGGAGGUCAGACCUCUCUGAUGAUGUUUUUAUAUAGUUGCAACUUUUGAACUAUGCAAAUAUUUCACAUAUUCAAACAACAGAAUUAAGUAAAAAAUGAUUUAAAAAGCAAACCCUAAAAUUGAAUACAAAUAGAAACAAAUGAACCUAACAAAUUCAUAGCAUCCUCACCCCAAAAUGAAUUUACAUAGCUUAUAAACAUUAUUCUGACCAUACAAACUUAGAGGGAAAUGUACUAAGAAUCAUAACCUGCAAAGAGAUCUUUAUACUUAGCAAUUUGUUGUUGUCAGUAGCACUUUGUGUGGUAAUUCUGAAAUUAUUUUGUGUGUAAUACAGGAUAGAACAAAUGAGUAACUAUAUUAGAUUUUGGGGAGCCAGUGUUCGUGGGAGAUAUAAAUAUGGAGCUUUGAAUUCGAGUUGGAGGCAUAAAUGUGAAUUCACAGAUUUUUAAAAGUAUAUUUUCUAUCUCAGUCUGUGGAAAGGGCUUAGAAGCAGUGAUGCCCUCGUAAGAGUAAACAUACUCGGUGCCCAAAUUUGGUUUCCAAGUACCAUCUCCUACUGAAAGGAGCCAGUGUUCCUUACAAGAAUUCCUGAUUCCAGAACAUGGGGCAAUGACUUCUUAGAACCUUUUAUAUCGGAAAGCAAGAAGAACUCAAAUGGAUGGGGACAUGUCAAAAGUCCCUAGGAGCCCACUUGAAGGGUUAUCACAGAUAACACAGAAAAGAUAAUCUGUUGGUCCAUAAUGAUGCUUACCAAAAAAACUACCCCAAUACAAAGAAAAAAAAGACAACAGAGGGAUGGAGUAUAAAGUCCUUUACAGCCGAAACAUAGCUAAACAUGUAGAAGGAGUGAUAAUGAUUGUGCUGAUAAUUGAGUCAAGCAAGGAUCAUCACUGGACAUUAAAACCAUUGAGUAAAAAGAUUGUAGGUGAAGAGAAUGUUUACAUGGUUUUAAGGCAUCACCCUACUAAUUAUUUAUGCAUUGCAAGGAGAAAGAUAUAUUUUUAUAGUGGAGGGAUCUGGCACGCUCACCCUUAUCUACAUGAUCAACUUUAGCAUUACCUGUAUUGGGACAAACUGACGUGUCUCUGGAUGUGAUGUAAUGAGGCAUACACAAUACCAUCUACAUAGUACUUACGCCAAAAAUGUUUCACUUAAAUCUGUUUGUGAAGUAUGAACCAGACAGAUCCAAAAUGUGUACAUUCUAUAAGACAUCGGUCCUGCAAAUGUCCUUUUCAUAAAAGAAAUAACAGUGGUGGGAACAUUCUAAAAUGAAGGAGACUAAAGACAUAUGACCACCGUAUGCAGUAUGCCUACCUUGAGAGGGUUGUAGAGACAGAGAGCUCUCUCUCUAUUUAAGGCUGCACAUUUUGGGUAUAAUUAGAGAAAUUUGAAUAUGAACUAUAUAUUAGGUAAUAGGGAAUCCUAAUAACUUUCUUAGAUGAUAUACUAUUAAAAAGAAUUGCUUCUCCAUUGUUUAAAAACAUGUGAAAUGGAUUCUGUUAUUGUGAAAACUGGCUAAACAUUGAACAGCCCUGAAAGCAUAUAGUCAUAAAAUUAAUUUAUCAAAUUAGUCAGGGAUUUCAUGAGAUUAUCUUUUAAGUGUCCUGCUGCAAUUUAAGUAUUUGUAGGCGUCCAGUCUGCACGUCUGUGUGUAUCGGGUAGCACUUGAUGAUUGCAUUUUAUUGCUACGGUGCCAUGAUCAGGCAUGACGAAAUAAUUUUAUAUGUAGUGAACAUUUUUUAUAAAUGCUAUCUAGUAAAAUGUUUCAUUCUGUUAUACUCUGGUGAGACACAACUUUUUAAACUUUUAAGAGAAAGUAAGAUAUUGGCAGUAGUUCUGUGAAAAGUCUGGAAGUGUUAUUAACGUAGUUAUCUUUAUUGAGAAAUAUCUGUACUUUGCCUUUCUCAGAAUUUGAGGCCACCUAAAUGAAGACAUAAGAAAAGGAAUUCAGAAAGAAAAGUUGAGGAAAAUAAAAAACACAUAUAUGCCGGUUGAUUGCAGUGCUGAUUAAGGAUCAAUAAAAUUGUGUGAAAAGGGAAUCAGAGUAAUAAAGUACGCAAUUCUUAAGGAUCAGAAAGGCUAAUAAGAUCCAGUUUUUACCUGAACUAAAUUCUUUAAAAAAAUUAUGUAGCUUACUAAAUGAAAUACAUUUGUUGAUGUUACUUACAUUGAGCAGCUACAGUCUUACAGCAAAAGUAGGUUUAUGAUCGUUUCUUAUAGCAGCUGGCAUAACAUUAAGGAGCAACAAAUUACUGAAGCUAAUUGUUAAAGGGCUAAACUGUAGCCUUCUGAUGAUCCACCUUGAUACAAAGAGAUGACAUAGAAUGCUAGGAGAUUGGAUGGCUCUUAGAGUCUCUGAAAAUAAUUUCUCUUGAUUUAGUUUUGUGAUGUAGUUGACAAAAUACUGCCAUGCCCUGAAAAACAAGAGAGUCAUAUUCUAUACUGUUGGUUAAAGGAAGGCAUAUAAGUACCGGAAAACAAGGGAUACAAUUGAGAUUUUCUUACUUAUAUUUUCCCAUUUUCUUUUAAAGAUAAAUUUCUUUCUUUUUUUAAAAAAAUGUUUUAUUUAUUUAUUUUGAGAGAGAGUGUGUGUGAGCAGGGGAGGGGCAGAGAGAGAGAGGGAGAAAGAGAAUCCCAAGCAGGCUCCACACUGUUAGCCCACACAGAGCCUGACAUGUCGGGCCUGAACUCAUGAACUGUGAGAUCAUGACCUGAGCUGAAAUCAAGAGUCAGAUGCUUAACCAACUGAGCCACUCAGGUGACCCUAAAUUUUCUUAUUUAAAUUGUUUUCAGUCUGCUUAGGUUUCUUUCACAAGAAGUUAGUGAUCAUGUUCUAAGGGCAAAUUGGUGAGCAAGGGGGGCAUCUGGAUUGCUCAGUCGGUCCGGUGUCCUACUUCGGCUCAGGUCAUGAUCUCACAGUUUGUGAGUUUGAGCCCCACUUUGGGCUCUGUGCUGACAGCUCGGAGCCUAGAGCCUGCUUCUGAUCCUUUGUCUCCCUCUCUCUCUGACCCUCUCCCGCUCAUGCUCUGUCUC